GGGGAUGUAGCUCAGUGGUAGGGUGCUCGCCUAGUGUGCAUGUGUGUGAGACCCUGAGUUGGAUUCCCAGCAUCCUCC
rnacentral:tRNA from 1 species